UGGUGACAUUUUGUGCCGCCUUUUUCAGUUUUGUGGAAAGGAUUACACUAAUAUUGGAAUUUUUAUUUUUAGCGCCACAUUAGUUGACAUUAGCGGCUGCACUGUUUCAACGCUUCAUCAAAUUCUGUCAGAUGUCAAUAAUUUUUUCGUUUGUACUGAACUUUAAUAAGUGUCUCAAAAAACAGUUUUUAUCAAAACUACAGAUCAUUGUGGAAUAAUCUCAGUUCUUUGGCGCAAUCAUCAUGCCUAUUACCGUAAUGGGGUGUUAAAUGAGGAUGGGGAUGGAGUGUACUCUGUGGAGGCGUCUAAAAACGAGU